rnacentral:lncRNA from 1 species
UUCUGAACAACAUGGCAACAAGCUAGAAGCAGUGAAUGGUGACAUUAAAGCAGAGAGGCUGUAAGAAAAAGCUUUUACCAAAGCCCAAGGGGAAGCUGGCCAUGGGUGAAGGUGUCAUACUGGAGGAGUGGAGAGACUGAUGGCCAUCUUGCUGACCUGGGAGGCCACAAAGUUGGGAGAUAUAGAAAUAAUGAGAGUGAAUUCUGGGAAUAUUAUUGAACACACAGAUGGAGCCAAGCCUGAUGCCCACUGUGAGCCAAUCACAACCCUGUUUUCCUAAACACACAUUUGAAUUGGGCAUCCCAUUACUUACUGUGAAAGGAGUUCUAACCCAUUCAUACAAUCUAUCCCAAAAGGUGAACCUUGUCCUUGAAUAAUCAAAUUGUAGGCCUCCACUCAUUCCAAACCAGACAAGGGGGACAUCACCAACCCAAAGCAAAGGAACUUGGAAACACACACAAAGGGGGGGGGCGCAAUUGAAAACAGAUGGAGGUUGGCUGCAGGGAGAUGGGGUGGUCUUUUACUAUAGAGAUCCCACCGCACAUGCCACUGAAUGAAGGAACUUUAGGAUAGAUUUGAACUCAGUCUAAGGAAAAGCUAUCCACUUCAAGCUGUGAAGAGAGAAUGGACUGCUUCCCAUAGAAGCAAUAAGGAAAAAACUGCCCCCCCAUGGUGUCACAGGGGAAAUUAACUAGAAGCACUCUCCAUUCCUGGCCCCCCUAAGUUAUGACCCCCAGGAUGAAGAUGUGGGAGUUUAAACCAAGUCGUUCUCAUUUGUGGCUCAGGUUUUCUAACACAGGGAUUACGUUUGUGAGGGUGAAGUUGCUAUGGAGAUGAUUUUCAAUCAUAGCUUCCAUGCUGAAAGCAAUGAAACCAUGAAACUAUCAUCGGAAUAUGAGCCCUACUCCCACCUGGAGCCGUGCCUACUUCUCCUGUUACCCACCACCUGUGUGAGCCCUGGGGGUUCCUCAGAUGCAGCUUAGCUGCUGAAGGUCCAGCACCUUGGGCCAGAAAGAGUAGGAAGCAGAUGCUUCCCUCUGUGAGUCCAUGGAAUACCCAUGAGACCAUCAGGAAACCCUAGUCCAGCAUGGAAGCUUCGUUUUUGCUCCCAGGUCUCUCUCUUCACAGUCUUCACCCUAGAGCCUCCAUUCAUUACUGAAGUGGAAGUUGAGUCUUUCACUUCUCUGUGUUAUGAACAAAAAUUCUUAAUGAAUUUCUUAGAGUUUUUGGUCAUAUUUUAGCAAAACUAAAAGUUAACAUUGUGCCAUACAUUCUUUUUUUUUAUUUCGAGAUAGGGUUUUUCUGUGGCUUUGGAGGCUCUUCUGGAACUAGCUCUUGUAGACCAGGCUCACACUCACAGAGAUCUGCCUGCCUGUGCCUCCUGAGUGCUGGGAUUAAAGGCAUGCGCCACCAACGACUGGCUCAUGCCAUACAUUCUUAUCUGGGACAUAAUUUUGAAGAUGAUGGGGCUGGAGACAUGGCUCC